rnacentral:rRNA from 1 species
GUACACUCCUGCGGGAGGCAGCAGUGGGGAAUUUUGGACAAUGGGCGAAAGCCUGAUCCAGCAAUGCCGCGUGCAGGAUGAAGGCCUUCGGGUUGUAAACUGCUUUUGUACGGAACGAAAAAGCUCCUUCUAAUACAGGGGGCCCAUGACGGUACCGUAAGAAUAAGCACCGGCUAACUACGUGCCAGCAGCCGCGGUAAUACGUAGGGUGCGAGCGUUAAUCGGAAUUACUGGGCGUAAAGCGUGCGCAGGCGGUUAUGUAAGACAGAUGUGAAAUCCCCGGGCUCAACCUGGGAACUGCAUUUGUGACUGCAUGGCUAGAGUACGGUAGAGGGGGAUGGAAUUCCGCGUGUAGCAGUGAAAUGCGUAGAUAUGCGGAGGAACACCGAUGGCGAAGGCAAUCCCCUGGACCUGUACUGACGCUCAUGCACGAAAGCGUGGGGAGCAAACAGGAUUAGAUACCCCUGUAGUCCCAUGA